AUUGAACGCUGGCGGCAGGCCUAACACAUGCAAGUCGAGCGGAUGAUGAAAGCUUGCUUUCUGAUUCAGCGGCGGACGGGUGAGUAAUGCCUAGGAAUCUGCCUGUUAGUGGGGGAUAACUCGGGGAAACUCGGGCUAAUACCGCAUACGUCCUACGGGAGAAAGUGGGGGAUCUUCGGACCUCACGCUAACAGAUGAGCCUAGGUCGGAUUAGCUAGUAGGUGAGGUAAUGGCUCACCUAGGCUACGAUCCGUAACUGGUCUGAGAGGAUGAUCAGUCACACUGGAACUGAGACACGGUCCAGACUCCUACGGGAGGCAGCAGUGGGGAAUAUUGGACAAUGGGCGAAAGCCUGAUCCAGCCAUGCCGCGUGUGUGAAGAAGGUCUUCGGAUUGUAAAGCACUUUAAGUUGGGAGGAAGGGUUGUAGAUUAAUACUCUGCAAUUUUGACGUUACCGACAGAAUAAGCACCGGCUAACUCUGUGCCAGCAGCCGCCGUAAUAC
rnacentral:rRNA from 1 species